rnacentral:tRNA from 1 species
GCAGUGUUCCCAUAAUUGGAAUUGGAGCCGGUUGCUAGCCGGUCGGGCGUUUAUUCGCUUUGUAGGUUCGAAUCCUGCACACUGCG